AACGAACGCUGGCGGCAGGCUUAACACAUGCAAGUCGAACGCCCCGCAAGGGGAGUGGCAGACGGGUGAGUAACGCGUGGGAAUCUACCUAGUUCUACGGAACAACUGAGGGAAACUUCAGCUAAUACCGUAUACGCCCUACGGGGGAUAGAUUUAUCGGAAUUAGAUGAGCCCGCGUUGGAUUAGCUAGUUGGUGGGGUAAUGGCCUACCAAGGCGACGAUCCAUAGCUGGUCUGAGAGGAUGAUCAGCCACACUGGGACUGAGACACGGCCCAGACUCCUACGGGAGGCAGCAGUGGGGAAUAUUGGACAAUGGGCGAAAGCCUGAUCCAGCCAUGCCGCGUGAGUGAUGAAGGCCUUAGGGUUGUAAAGCUCUUUCAGUGGGGAAGAUAAUGACGGUACCCACAGAAGAAGCCCCGGCUAACUUCGUGCCAGCCGCCGCAGUAAGAC
rnacentral:rRNA from 1 species